rnacentral:rRNA from 1 species
CAGUAGCCGCGGUAAUACGGAGGGUGCAAGCGUUAAUCGGAAUUACUGGGCGUAAAGCGCACGCAGGCGGUCUGACAAGUCAGAUGUGAAAUCCCCGGGCUUAACCUGGGAACUGCAUUUGAAACUGUCAGGCUGGAGUCUUGUAGAGGGGGGUGGAAUUCCAGGUGUAGCGGUGAAAUGCGUAGAGAUCUGGAGGAAUACCGGUGGCGAAGGCGGCCCCCUGGACAAAGACUGACGCUCAGGUGCGAAAGCGUGGGGAGCAAACAGGAUUAGAUACCCCGGUAGUCCCUGUCUCUUAUAU